rnacentral:tmRNA from 1 species
GGGGCCGACUGGUUUUGACAGGAAGCCGAAGGUGAGUGUAAGCAUGUCGGAAGCUGAACGUACCUUCCGUAAUCAAUGCGUUCAAACCAAUAAAUGGCGAAGAAAACUACGCCCUUGCUGCCUAAUUAAGACUAAUUAGAUAGCUUGUGUCCUGCCAGGCCUUUGUUCUGCCGGUCUGGCGCCAAGGACAUCAUCCCGCAGAACUAGUUGCAACAGGGCUGUGAUGUUGCAGCGAAUUUUAUCGCAGAUACGGGUCGUUUACAGGUUAGGUUAGCACCUAAACUACCCCGACAAUUCAAGCUAAACUAAGCAUGUAGAAAGCGCUACAUCUUUCUUAUCUGGACGCGGGUUCGACUCCCGCCGGCUCCACAA